UACGGAGGGGGCUAGCGUUGUUCGGAAUUACUGGGCGUAAAGCGCACGUAGGCGGCUUUACAAGUCAGGGGUGAAAGCCCGGAGCUCAACUCCGGGAUUGCCCUUGAGACUGUAUCGCUUGAACACGGGAGAGGUGAGUGGAAUUCCGAGUGUAGAGGUGAAAUUCGUAGAUAUUCGGAAGAACACCAGUGGCGAAGGCGGCUCACUGGACCGUUGUUGACGCUGAGGUGCGAAAGCGUGGGGAGCAAACAGG
rnacentral:rRNA from 1 species